GGUUAAGCGACUAAGCGUACACGGUGGAUGCCCUGGCAGUCAGAGGCGAUGAAGGGCGUGCUAAUCUGCGAUAAGCGCCGGUAAGGUGAUAUGAACCGUUAUAACCGGCGAUACCCGAAUGGGGAAACCCAGUGUGAUUCGUCACACUAUCAUUAACUGAAUCCAUAGGUUAAUGAGGCGAACCGGGGGAACUGAAACAUCUAAGUACCCCGAGGAAAAGAAAUCAACCGAGAUUCCCCCAGUAGCGGCGAGCGAACGGGGAGGAGCCCAGAGCCUGAAUCAGCAUGUGUGUUAGUGGAAGCGUCUGGAAAGGCGCGCGAUACAGGGUGACAGCCCCGUACACAAAAGCGCAUAUGCUGUGAGCUCGAUGAGUAGGGCGGGACACGUGGUAUCCUGUCUGAAUAUGGGGGGACCAUCCUCCAAGGCUAAAUACUCCUGACUGACCGAUAGUGAACCAGUACCGUGAGGGAAAGGCGAAAAGAACCCCGGCGAGGGGAGUGAAAAAGAACCUGAAACCGUGUACGUACAAGCAGUGGGAGCCCCACCACUAAGCCAGUGGUGAACUCCACAUACGCAUCCUUUGCUGAGGAGACGGUUAACGGAGCGAAAGCGACGUUCAACCUCAAAAGAAGCAGAGGGGGCUUAGUGGUGGGGUGACUGCGUACCUUUUGUAUAAUGGGUCAGCGACUUAUAUUCUGUAGCAAGGUUAACUGUAUAGGGGAGCCGGAGGGAAACCGAGUCUUAACCGGGCGUUAAGUUGCAGGGUAUAGACCCGAAACCCGGUGAUCUAGCCAUGGGCAGGUUGAAGGUUGGGUAACACUAACUGGAGGACCGAACCGACUAAUGUUGAAAAAUUAGCGGAUGACCUGUGGCUGGGGGUGAAAGGCCAAUCAAACCGGGAGAUAGCUGGUUCUCCCCGAAAGCUAUUUAGGUAGCGCCUCGUGAAUUCAUCUCCGGGGGUAGAGCACUGUUUCGGCUAGGGGGCCAUCCCGGCUUACCAACCCGAUGCAAACUGCGAAUACCGGAGAAUGUUAUCACGGGAGACACACGGCGGGUGCUAAUGUCCGUCGUGAAGAGGGAAACAACCCAGACCGCCAGCUAAGGUCCCAAAGUCAUGGUUAAGUGGGAAACGAUGUGGGAAGGCCCAGACAGCCAGGAUGUUGGCUUAGAAGCAGCCAUCAUUUAAAGAAAGCGUAAUAGCUCACUGGUCGAGUCGGCCUGCGCGGAAGAUGUAACGGGGCUAAACCAUGCACCGAAGCUGCGGCAGCGACACCGUGUGUUGUUGGGUAGGGGAGCGUUCUGUAAGCCUGUGAAGGUGUGCUGUGAGGCAUGCUGGAGGUAUCAGAAGUGCGAAUGCUGACAUAAGUAACGAUAAAGCGGGUGAAAAGCCCGCUCGCCGGAAGACCAAGGGUUCCUGUCCAACGUUAAUCGGGGCAGGGUGAGUCGACCCCUAAGGCGAGGCCGAAAGGCGUAGUCGAUGGGAAACGGGUUAAUAUUCCCGUACUUGGUGUUACUGCGAAGGGGGGACGGAGAAGGCUAUGUUGGCCGGGCGACGGUUGUCCCGGUUUAAGCGUGUAGGUAUGUGUUCCAGGUAAAUCCGGUUCACUUUAACACUGAGGCGUGACGACGAGGCACUACGGUGCUGAAGCAACAAAUGCCCUGCUUCCAGGAAAAGCCUCUAAGCAUCAGGUAACAUCAAAUCGUACCCCAAACCGACACAGGUGGUCAGGUAGAGAAUACCAAGGCGCUUGAGAGAACUCGGGUGAAGGAACUAGGCAAAAUGGUGCCGUAACUUCGGGAGAAGGCACGCUGACACGUAGGUGAAGUGAUUUACUCACGGAGCUGAAGUCAGCCGAAGAUACCAGCUGGCUGCAACUGUUUAUUAAAAACACAGCACUGUGCAAACACGAAAGUGGACGUAUACGGUGUGACGCCUGCCCGGUGCCGGAAGGUUAAUUGAUGGGGUCAGCGCAAGCGAAGCUCCUGAUCGAAGCCCCGGUAAACGGCGGCCGUAACUAUAACGGUCCUAAGGUAGCGAAAUUCCUUGUCGGGUAAGUUCCGACCUGCACGAAUGGCGUAAUGAUGGCCAGGCUGUCUCCACCCGAGACUCAGUGAAAUUGAACUCGCUGUGAAGAUGCAGUGUACCCGCGGCAAGACG
rnacentral:rRNA from 1 species